UUUACGUGGCAUAUUGGUCAGCCUCCGCUUUGACUCUUAGACCUUGCCAGGUUGAGCUGGCCCCGAGCCUGGGGAGGUACUCUUGUUUUUAAAUGGACAGCUGACAGUGAAGUCGCAGUCCCUCACUCUUGAGCAUUUAUGUUGGAAUCAGAAUCAGACUCAUUUAGAUUACAGCAUAAACUAGUCUCUGGGAAAUGCUUUUCAAACAAAAUCAGGGCCAAAGGACAGGAAUGUGUUCUUAUUAAGAGAACUUAAUCCUUUUUUCUUUUAAUUUAAUAUAAACUUCUGCAUGUAUAGGGAGAGAAAGCUGCUUGAGCCACUGGAGGCUCAGGCUAGAAAUUCUCACUGAGUAAGCUCUGCUAAAGGAAAAAUAAGCCAGUGUCCCUUUGUGCUCUAUUGGAAUAACCUAGAAAUAACACCAACCGAAUAAUCCCAUCAUUUUGGCACCUCACCUUUUCUGAGUUAAUUUUCUUGACUGCAGAAUGCAUCACUAGUUGGAUACAAGAAGCUUACUUGCUCUUUGGUAUCUCCAGCCCCCGUUCAGAAGCCUCUUUAGCUUGCCCUUGCAUGGGGUCAGAACCUUCACUUCUUUUCCAGGUUUUUCCUGCUUGGGCUGGAAGGAAGGCCAGUUGGGUCUUCUAUGUGACUGUUGUUGGCCUAGGUUCUCUCUGACCCCAGCUUCCGAAAGUCUGUUCCGUGGGCUCUUGGUUCUGCCGCCGCCUAACUCCCUGGUACACUCUGUGCUUUUCGUUUUGUUUUGCUUUGCUUUGGUUUCCUGUUAACUGCUCCUCCCAUCUGUUUCCAGAUGCGACUCAAGAGCUUUUGGGGGGAGGAACAAGUAUAGGGGAAGUUGUGGUUAUCGAUCCCCAGAUCCUGAGAGGCGGCCUAGGAAUCACGGACACGCCAAGCAAAGCCUUGUAGGUCAGGCCGGCCUGAAACUCACUGAAAAUCCUACGUCAGCCUCUGUAGUACUGGGAUUUUAGAGGUAGCUGGAUCAUCAAAUCAGAUUCUGGCAAGGUAGUAGGUUUUGGGAGCACUGGGGACUGUGGACAUGUCUGUUGGGACUCCAGGUUCCCCAUGGCUGGCUUUAAAAAAACAAAAAACCAAAAACCCAUGUCCCUCCUACUCAGAUAAGUAGCUGUGGGGGAAGCAUCUUGAUUUGGUUUUAAAACAUGUGCUCAAUUUCUGAGACACCCUGGAGGAAAAGAAAUUCUUUUCAAGGCAAACUUGUGUGACAGGUGACAGGGGAGAGCAGCCUGGCAUCCCUUUCAUAAGCCAUCUUGUCACAGUUCUAGAAUGAAGUGGAUAAAACUUCCCUUUGGGGUGGAAAUUCAGAUCAACUGUCUGAAUAAUGUCUGUGACUGGCUUGGACCUGGCAAAUUACAGGCAAAAGGAGGUUUAUAAAGUUGAGUGUAAAGGGUGGACAACAUAAGAUUUUAACUCUAUCCUCAGUCACUGUUAGUUAAGCUAGGCUGGUGGUGCCUACCUGCAAUCACAACACAUGGAAGGCUAAGGUAGGAACUUCAUGAGUUCAAGGCUAGCCUGAGCUGUCUAGGGUAACACUAUCUACAAACAAACAACACAACUCAAGCAUCUAUCAAGACUGUAGUUUCUCAUCUAUAAACUGAAGAAAACAGCGUGUCUAAUGGGAAUCUCUCAUUGAUGCUUUCAAAUGUUUGCCUGACAAAUGCUACAUAGAAGCAUUCUUGAUCUGUUGGCUGGGUCUGUUCAAGGCCUCUGUUGUGGAGCUGUGCACUUUAGAACAUAGUUCAUGGUUCUUGCCCUUUUAACAUUUUGAGGAAUGUCAUGCAUGUACAGCCCCCAUAUAGAUGCUGGACUCAUCUAGUGCUUAGCUUUGUGGUUGGUUUUAGUUUCACUUCUCUCUCUCUCUCUUUUUUUUUUAAAGAUUUAUUUAUUUAUUAUAUUUAAGUACACUGUAGCUGUCUUCACACACACCAGAAGAGGGCAUCCGAUCUUAUUACAGAUGGUUGUGAGCCACCAUGUGGUUGCUGGAAUUUGAAUUCAGGACCUCUGGAAGAGCAGUUGGUGCUCUUAACCACUGAGCCAUCUCUCCAGCCCCUAGUUUCAGUUCUCUUGUUGUUAACUUCUUUUGGUAUAUAUCAGAGGGUAGCAAGUGGUCUUUUGGGG
rnacentral:lncRNA from 1 species